rnacentral:sRNA from 1 species
UCUGGGUGCAGUGGCAUGCGUACCUGUAGUCCUGGCCACUUGGGGGACUGAGGCAGGAGGCUCACUUGAGCCCAGGAGUUCAGAGUUGUAGCCGAUUAGGUGUCUGCACUAAGCUUGCCAUCAAUAUAGUGACUUCCUGGGAGUGGAGGACGACAGGUUUCCUAAGGAGGGGUGAACUGGUCCAGGUUGGAAACAAGGGAAUGUUAAAAAUAUCAUGGGCACGGUAGCUCACACACCUGUAAUCCUAGCACUUUGGGAGGCUGCAGCAGGAGGAUCAAUUGAGCCCAGGAGUUGGAGAUCAGCCUGAGUAAUGCAGUGAGACCCUGUCCCU